UCAAAUCUUACCUCUCUGUCAGACACAGAUAAUAGGCUACAGAUUUAUGCGCACAGCCUUUGACCACUGGUAGGGAGCCAGUGAUAGCACUCCUAUUAACAGCUCUGUGUGAUCAAAACUUUCUCAGAAAUGUUAUUUUAUAGAAGGAGCUUUUAAAUGGGGUGUAAAAUAUAUAGCGGCCAUCGUUGGGGCUCUCAUCGCCGUGAUCGUCUUUAACGGUUCUACUGGUAGCCGCUUCCUCAAACAGGCAAGUUCAAAGCAGCAUUCAAGGAGGAAUGUGAGACGUUUGAUCCACAAAACACACGAAACAUUCAUUAGACUUUGCAAACGCAUGGAAAACCCUGUUAAUUCCAUCUGGAAAAGAGCGUCUGCUAAGUUUGCAGAAUAUGCCUGUCGCGAAGUCACAGCAAUGCUAAAUGAUGAGAAUAACAAACCAUACGAUCCUGAAAGUGUUUUUGCAGUUGAGGUUAAGAACUCCGAUACCCCACGGUGACGCACCUCAAUAGUGUUCUGGUCUCUAAGAAUGACGCCCUUGGGGACAAGUGUUGCUGUGACACGGGUUUAAAGAGAUCUGGAUGCAGAAAUUGAUUGUACUUGCAGGGUAGUGACUAGUUCUCACAUCAAGGAAAGCACAAAAGAAUCUUGUGGAACCUGUUGGUGAAGACGUCUGAACCUAAUGUCAAACUACGCUCUUAAACAAAACACAAUAAAAAGCAACAAACUGGAAAUUCGUUUUUGUGCGGUCAUACAUUCUACAUUAAAUCUUUUGUACACAUUGACCAGUCUGACCUGAUUUUUAAAUACAGAAGUACAUUCAGAAUCAU